AUUGAUUGACGGAUGGGUUGAAUGAUAGAAAGAUGAGUGGUGGUCUGUGUCAGCGUAUGACGAACAGUUCCCACUUCCACUUAGCGUGGAAGCUCUGCACGUUGGGACCCUGAGGGCAGCAUGGGUGUCUGAGCUGGAGGUCUUUACCUGUCUAUGGUCAUCCCUCCCCCGAGUCACAAUUCUUAAUAAUGCAGCAGAGUCUUUCUAGUUACAUGUCCAGCCCUCGGUACGCCAACCUCAGCUCCAGAAAUUGUGUUGGCCAGUAUCUCUGAGGGUGUCUGGUGUUGGCCACUAUCUCUUUGAGGGUGUCUGGUGUUGGCCAGCCCCCCGUGCCCGGGCCAUCUUCAGCCUAAGAACUGGGGCUUAGUGAGAGAUUAAUAAGUAUCUAGACCGAACUAAGACCCAAGUGGCCUUGGGUUCAAACUCUUCUUGAAGCCACAAAGACAGCAAUGACCCUCUUGGCAGGUCAUUUCUCUAAUCACAGUCCCCUGAGAAUGAUGGGUCUUAGGGGCAUCUCAAAACUGCAAGGAUUCCAGUCCCUUGCUAGGAACCCCACCUCCUCAUGCUCCCUGAGUAAAUCUAGACCCAGAGAUUAGGAAUUCCUACCACCACAUCCCCAAAGCACAAGGCAUGGAAAGGGAAGCCUUAGGCCUAGGCACCCAUUCCCAUGGGUUUGGGUUUCUAAAAGAUCAUCUAUGUCUUACAGAACAUCAGGAGCCAUUUCCCUGUGUGAUACUGGACCAGUCCCAGGACAUGCUGGAGGAAGAGACCCCGGGUGCCAGCCUGUGGCCCACCACUGUGACCUUCCUCACCCUCUUCCUACUUAGCCUAUUCUACAGUACAGCACUCACUGUGACAACAGUACGAGGUCCAUUUGGCAGCAAAGAGAUCCCCCAGUACUGACCAGAAACCAGGCAAAUGUGGCAGUCAUAGAGAUGACAUUAAGGAAAAGGAAGUAAAAGAUGACAACACUCCCUGGAUUUAACCCAAACUUCCACAAGCCAGUGCUGGGACUGUGGCAAAAAAUGAAGACACAGCCUAACUUCGGGAUGACACAGCCCAACUUCCAGAUGACACAGCCCAACUCCAGAUGACAUAGCCCAACUUCCGGAUGACACAGCCCAACUCUGGGAUGACACAGCACAACUUCCAGAUGACAUAGCCCAACUUCUGGAUGACAUAGCCCAACAUCCAGAUGACAUAGCCUAACUCCAGGAUGACAUAGCCCAACUCCAGGAUGACACAGCCCAACUCUGGGAUGACACAGCACAACUCCAGAUGACAUAGACCAACUCCAGGAUGGCAUAGCCCAACUCCAGAUGACAUAGCCCAACUCCAGGGUGACACAGCCCAACUCCAGGAUGACAUAGCCCAACUCCAGGAUGACAUAGCCCAACUCCAGGAUGACAUAGCCCAACUCCAGGGUGACAUAGCCUAACUCCAGGAUGACAUAGCCCAACUCCGGGAUGGCAUAACACAACUCCAGGAUCUCUUCUAGCUGAUCACUCUUGUCUUUGCGGGGAUGAAGUGUGGAGAAGGUCCCUACAUUUCAGAGCUAAGACCUAUGUGACAACUGCCCACCCCCCAACUCACACGCUUUCCUAAGCAAUAAACUGAUGUAAAAAGUA